AAGGUUUUCCUGGACGGAAGAAACGCUUUCACAUUAAGAAGAGAGCAGUCGACUCACCCAGUCCUUUCCAGCCAUUCUACCGCGGGCGAGGACGUGGAUAAAUUCUGGGUGACCCUGCUUUCCAUUUGAGAUAUGCCCUGGGCGAGGACACACGAGUGCUUGACACACGCCCGGAAAUAGCGUGAAGACGGAGAUGGAUGAUGGAAAAUUCAGCUGAGGAGAGCUAGCAUAUGUGCAUAUACUAGUGAUAUAUACAUAUAUCGAUUAGCGGUAAAGAUCUGUUAUUUGUCAAGGACUGAAACAGCUGGUUGGAUAUUUCUUAUUUAUGCCUAAAUAACAUAUGCUAUAUAUGCUGGAGAUGUAUAUUUCCGGAAAUUAGGCUGGAACUUACAUUUAGUCUUCUGUCAAUUUCACGGAAAUAAA